rnacentral:tRNA from 1 species
GGUAAUGGCCGGGAUAG